AGUGAACGCUGGCGGUAGGCCUAACACAUGCAAGUCGAACGGCAGCACAGUAAGAGCUUGCUCUUACGGGUGGCGAGUGGCGGACGGGUGAGGAAUACACCGGAAUCUACUUUUUCGUGGGGGAUAACGUAGGGAAACUUACGCUAAUACCGCAUACGACCUACGGGUGAAAGCAGGGGAUCUUCGGACCUUGCGCGAUUGAAUGAGCCGAUGUCGGAUUAGCUAGUUGGCGGGGUAAAGGCCCACCAAGGCGACGAUCCGUAGCUGGUCUGGGAGGAUGAUCAGCCACACUGGAACUGAGACACGGUCCAGACUCCUACGGGAGGCAGCAGUGGGGAAUAUUGGACAGUGGGCGCAAGCCUGAUCCAGCCAUACCGCGUGGGUGAAGAAGGCCUUCGGGUUGUAAAGCCCUUUUGUUGGGAAAGAAAAGCAGCAGGUUAAUACCCCGCUGUUCUGACGGUACCCAAAGAAUAAGCACCGGCUAACUUCGUG
rnacentral:rRNA from 1 species